rnacentral:rRNA from 1 species
UCGAGGAUCUUCGUCAAUGGGCGAAAGCCUGAACGAGCGAUGCCGCGUGUGCGAUGAAGGCCUUCGGGUUGUAAAGCACGAAAGAGAUGAGAAAGGGCAACUUGAUCGAAUCUCAGUAAGCUCGGGCUAAGUUCGUGCCAGCAGCCGCGGUAAGACGAACCGAGCGAACGUUGUUCGGAAUCACUGGGCUUAAAGGGCGCGUAGGCGGGCGGCUAAGUCUGUGUUGAAAUCCUCCAGCUCAACUGGAGAACUGGCAUGGAUACUGGUCGUCUCGAGGAAGGUAGGGGUACGUGGAACUAUCGGUGGAGCGGUGAAAUGCGUUGAUAUCGAUAGGAACUCCGGUGGCGAAGGCGACGUACUGGACCUUUUCUGACGCUGAGGCGCGAAAGCCAGGGGAGCA